rnacentral:rRNA from 1 species
CUAAGGCUCCAGAGGAAGCCACGGCUAACUCUGUGCCAGCAGCCGCGGUAAUACAGAGGCGGCAAGCGUUGUUCGGAAUUAUUGGGCGUAAAGAGCACGUAGGCGGCCUUGCAAGUCAGUUGUGAAAGCCUUCCGCUUAACGGAAGAAUGCCAGCUGAUACUACAGGGCUUGAGUACGGGAGGGGAGAGUGGAACUUCUGGUGGAGCGGUGAAAUGCGUAGAUAUCAGAAGGAACGCCGGCGGCGAAAGCGACUCUCUGGCCCGAAACUGACGCUGAGUGUGCGAAAGCCAGGGGAGCAAACGGGAUUAGAUACCCCGGUAGUCCUAGCCGUAAA